ACAUGAGUAGCGACAAAGAGUGUGAGAGACACUCUCGCCGAAAGUCCAAGGGUUCCUGCUUAAAGCUAAUCUGAGCAGGGUAAGCCGACCCCUAAGGCGAGGCCGAAAGGCGUAGUCGAUGGGAAACAGGUCAAUAUUCCUGUACUUAAUUUUUAUAACACCGGGGGACGAAGCCGUUUGAAACGCAGUUGGCGAAGAAAGACUGAAUUACGUUGAGGCUUCCAAGAAAAGCCCGUUCUGUUAUCAAUAAAAAUUAACCUGUACCACAAACUGACACAA
rnacentral:rRNA from 1 species